UACGUAGGGCGCGAGCGUUGUCCGGAUUUAUUGGGCGUAAAGAGCUCGUAGGCGGCUUGUCGCGUCGACUGUGAAAACCCGCGGCUCAACUGUGGGCGUGCGGGCGAUACGGGCAGACUGGAGUACUGCAGGGGAGACUGGAAUUCCUGGUGUAGCGGUGGAAAUGCGCAGAUAUCAGGAGGAACACCGGUGGCGAAGGCGGGUCUCUGGGCAGUAAACUGACGCUGAGGGAGCGAAAGCGUGGGAGCGAACAGG
rnacentral:rRNA from 1 species